AUUGAACGCUGGCGGCAUGCCUUACACAUGCAAGUCGAACGGUAACAGGUCUUCGGAUGCUGACGAGUGGCGAACGGGUGAGUAAUACAUCGGAACGUGCCUAGUAGUGGGGGAUAACUACUCGAAAGAGUGGCUAAUACCGCCUGAGAUCUACGGAUGAAAGCGGGGGAUCGCAAGACCUCGCGGGAUUGGAGCGGCCGAUGGCAGAUUAGGUAGUUGGUGGGGUAAAGGCCUACCAAGCCGACGAUCUGUAGCUGGUCUGAGAGGACGACCAGCCACACGGGGGCUGAGACACGGCCCAGACUCCUACGUGAGGCAGCAGUGGGGAAUUUUGGACAAUGGGAGAAAGCCUGAUCCAGCCAUUCCGCGUGCAGGAUGAAGGCCUUCGGGUUGUAAACUGCUUUUGUACGGAACGAAACGGUCCUGGUUAAUACCCGGGGCUAAUGACGGUACCGUAAGAAUAAGCACCGGCUAACUACGUGCCAGCAGCCGCCGUAAUAC
rnacentral:rRNA from 1 species